rnacentral:rRNA from 1 species
AGAUUAAGCCAUGCAUGUGCCAGUAUAAACAACAAUUGUACGUGUAAAACUGCGAAUGGCUCAUUAAAUCAGUUAUGAUUUAUUUGAUAGUGAUGUAAAGACAAAAAUUUACUACAUGGAUAGCCGUAGUAAUUCUAGAGCUAAUACAUGCAUUAAGAUCUGACUUUUUAUAAUUCAUAAUAAUUUAUUUAUUUAUAAUUAAUUUAUUUGGAUUAUUUAAGGAAAGGUUGUAUUUAUUAGAUCGAAAACCAGUUUGUUGCUAUAUUGUUUCAAUGUAGUAACGUUAAAUUGGUGAAUCAUGAUAACUUGUCGAAUCAGGGGUUUACUUUAUUGUAAGCAUCUGAUGAAUCAUUGAAAUUUCUGCCCUAUCAACUUUUGAUGGUAGGAUAGAGGCCUACCAUGGUUUUGACGGGUAACGGAGAAUUAGGGUUCGAUUCCGGAGAGGGAGCCUGAGAGACGGCUACCACUUCCAAGGAAGGCAGCAGGCGCGCAAAUUACCCAAUCCCAAUUAAUUUUGGGGAGGUAGUGACAAAAAAUACCAAUACAGGUGCGGUAAAACGUACUCUGCAAUUGGAAUGGUUUUAAUGUAAAUGCUUAAGAGAGCAACAAUUAGAGGGCAAGUCUGGUGCCAGCAGCCGCGGUAAUUCCAGCUCUAAUAGUGUAUACUAAAAUUGCUGCAGUUAAAAAGCUCGUAGUUGGAUUUUGGAGGGAACGAAAAAUUUAUCAUUUUUUAAUCUUUUUAUUAAUUGGUAGUUCAUUAUUUCCGAUUUUGAAAUUAUUAUUAUUUGAUUUUUCAUUAAAUGAAUGAUAGUAGUUUUUAAGAAAGGAAUUGUUCUACUUUUUUUGGAUUCUCUAUGUAAAAGUAGGGAUGAAAAAAUAUAUUUAAUUAAUAAAAGUGUUUCUUCCUAAAUAAAGAAAUUUUUUCAUUUUGAAAUUUUAUAAUUAUAGUACCGUUAAAAGUAUUAUUUUUAUUUAAAUUUUAAUUUGGAGAGGUUUACUUUGAAGAAAAUGGAGUGUUCAAAGCAGGCGUUUAUUCGCAACUGAACACAUUAGCAUGGAAUAAUAAAAUAGGACACUUUAUUGAAGGAUAAUUAUUUAUCUAAUUUCGGUUGGGUAGAUUUUUAUUUCUUUGAUUUUCUUUUUUAUUUUUUAUUCAAGGGAGCAAUCCUAAGAGUAGAAUUUAAUUAAGAUAUUCCAAUUUUUUAUUGGUUUAUUGGAAGAAGUGUAAUGAUUAAAAGGGACAGUUGGGGGCAUUCGUAUUGCAUUGUCAGAGGUGAAAUUCUUGGAUUUAUGCAAGACGAACGAGUGCGAAAGCAUUUGCCAAGGAUGUUUUCAUUAAUCAAGAACGAAAGUUAGGGGAUCGAAGGCGAUCAGAAACCGCCCUAGUCUUAACUAUAAACUAUGCCAACUAGGGAUUGGAGGGAGACUUUUUUAAUAUUAAUAAAAAGCCCCGUCAGGACCUUUAGAGAAAUCGCUAAGUCUCUGGGUUCUGGGGGGAGUAUGGUCGCAAGUCUGAAACUUAAAGAAAUUGACGGAAGGGCACCACCAGGUGUGGAGCCUGCGGCUUAAUUUGACUCAACACGGGGAAACUCACCAGGUCCAGAUGCGGGAAGGAUUGACAGAUUGAGAGUUCUUUCUUGAUUCCGCAGGUGGUGGUGCAUGGCCGUUCUUAGUUGGUGGAGUGAUUUGUCUGGUUAAUUCCGAUAACGAACGAGACCUCAACCUACUAAAUAGCUAUAUAAUUUUAAUUAAGUUCCGAUUGAUUUUUGUUUUUUUUGUUAGUUUUACCUGUUUGAAUGUAAAAGUUUGAAUAAGGGAAAUUGAUAGAAAAUAAUAAGCAAAAAUUAAAUUGGGAUUUAGACUUAUCAGCAAGUAUUGAAUGUAACAGUUUGAUAUUUGACAGUCUAAGAAAUUGUAUAUAUUUUUAAUAUUUUUUUUUGAGAAAAUCUGUAAAAGGAUUUUUUUUGAAAAAAAAGCUACUUAGAGGGACUACCCUGGUUGCACAGGGGGGAAGCAUGAGGCAAUAACAGGUCUGUGAUGCCCUUAGAUGUCCUGGGCCGCACGCGCGCUACACUGACAGCUUCAACAAGUUUAAAAAUUAUACGGUUUUUAUUGUUUUAUUAUGAUUAGUUAGAAAUAAUUAGUUAUAGUUUAAUAAAUAUUUAAUCGUGAUUCCUGAUUCGAAAGAAUUGGGUAAUCUUCUAAACUGCUGUCGUGAUGGGGAUCGAUCUUUGUAAUUUUGGAUCGUGAACGAGGAAUACCUAGUAAGUGCAAUUCAUCAGAUUGCGCUGAUUACGUCCCUGCCCUUUGUACACACCGCCCGUCGCUCCUACCGAUUGAAUGAUCAAAUGAAAUGUUCGGAUUAUGAGUUUGCAGAUUAGUUCCGUAAAAAGUUCUAUCAGUAGAUUUAUGAGAAGAACAGUGAAUUUUAUUAUUUAGAGGAAGGAGAAGUCGUAAC